UUCUGUUUUUAGAAAGAUAUUUUGCCAUCAUUACUAUUACUAGCUGCUUAUUAUCCUGUUUCAUAUCUGCUUUCAAAUUAUCAUUAUUUAGUGGAGAAGAAUGUUACCCGAAACAGUACAACAAUUGGUAAUAGCCACAUUGUUGUAACGUGCUUCUGAAAUUGAAGUGCAACAGGAAUAUUCUAUUAUCUGUUGCUCCUCCUACCGUGUUGAAUAUGUAGAUUGCAUGCUUAUUCAGUAAUUAGCAUCUAAUGCACUAAAACAGUGAAGAAACUAUUUGUGCUUUCUCCUCCAAAUAGGUGCUGUUAACAGAUCCCACAUUAGAAACCAUUAUGGCUAUGAGUUAUAGCAAGUUAUUGGACCUGUCAACUACUUAAUGUUGUCAUGUGUUUCAGAUAGGGAUGCUGAAUGCUGAUAAAGAAUGAAAACUUUUUUCAGUUUUAGAGAUGAUAAUUUUGUGUCAAGGUUUUAUAAGGAUUGAAUUUAUUGGGUGUGAUUGUUCAUUGCCAUCUUUCAUUUUUCUAGUUGUAUAAAGCACUUGCUGCAAAUCUGAUGGUAAAGUAAUUGGUGAUUAAGUGGCUCUUACUUUCCUUAUCCAUCUACCUCAUUCUAACUCUGGUUCUACACCAUCUUCACAGUAAUUUUUCUAAUAUAGUAAUAGUCAUGUCCAGAUUUUUACACACUCUCUGGAAAUGACACUGAUUAUGAUUAAACAUUUGUGAUAUAUAAAGGUAUCUGGCAAGCAGUGGAUAGCACACCAUUUUUUUACUUGAGACACGUGUAGGGCUUGAAAUUUCUAUCGCUGCUUUAGUUUACUUCACAAAAUUUCUUAAACAGAAUGUUAACAGCUUUUCUAGCAAUGGCACAGUGGUAGUGAAUUGUUGGUUACAGCACUAGCAUUAGUUCUUAAUAGCUUGUUAUGUUUUUGCUUUCAAUUUCUUUGCUGGAUGUGGAUACAGUGUGUUAUAUCUUGGUAAUAUGUUCUGUCUGUUAGGAUUAAGUUCUACCAUCUUAGAAAGGAUUCUCAAACGGGUCUAUGCAGUUUAAUAUAGCUGUUAGCUAAAAAAAAUUGAUUUUUUUCCCUUUCCUUUAAUGUUAUAUGUUUCUGUUUUGAAUUAGUGAGUAAUUUAAUGUGGCUUCUAUGAAAAACUGGUUUCUAUCAUGUUUUGUUUUAUGCACAAGAGUAGGAAGCACAGUUAAUUGCAGUAGCAGUUUUGUCUAUGCUUGUUAUAAUAGUGUAUAGUAGAUACAGCUCAGUUGUUGCUGACUCAAUAUAAGAGUUACUUAGUUAAGCUAACUACUUCUGUACUCUCUAUAAAUACUCUACUGUGUAAUUCUGUUUUAACUAACUCAUUCAUAAUACGAUAAUAGUUUUCAUAAUAUUUCAGUUCUCUCUCUCUCUCUCUCUCUCUCACCUCCAUGGAUUUCUUCAUGGUAUCCAGAGCUUCCUAAAGCCUUCAAUGGCAGUUCGAUCCUAUUUUUUCGCUUCUGCAAGCACAUCCUUCUUGUGUUUUGUUUGGUUGUUUGUGUGAUUCAAGUGAAUCCAUGAUUUUUCGAUUCUGUUUGGAUUUCCGAUCUGGAAAACUGUGUUUCUUCGAUCGUUGCGUCGCUUUGAUCGCGAUUUCGAUCCAGUUUGAAUUCUGUUCUUAGAUUUCGAUUCUGUUACCUCUUUGAUCGCGAUUUCUGUUUUGUGCGAUUUCUCCAUUCUUCGCACUCCUUUGGUCUCGAUCUCUGGUUGCACGCGAUUUGCUAGUAUUAGCGGCAUCUGUUUCCGGCAUCUCUGUUCGUUCUUCUUUAAUCGCGUUUCUAUGAUCAUGGUCUUAGAUUCGUGUUCUCUUUUCCUGCGAUUUCAGAAUCAGGUUUCAUGUUUUUGGUUUGUGUAUGCUAUGUCAUUGUCGCCGAUUAAUGCGGUUCCGGUGACCGGAGGUCCCCGGUAAACUCCUCCUCUGGCGCUGGAAAUAAUUUCGCAUAUCAUGUUAUGGUUAAACUUACAGAUGAUAACUUUUUGCUUUGGAAGCAGCAAAUUGGACCGGUUCUAAAGGUUCAUCGACUUCAACGUUUUGUUGUCCGCCCACUAAUUCCCCCAAAGUAUCUUACACAAGAAGUGCAGACAUGGAUAAAGAAAAUCCAGCAUAUGCAGCAUGGGAAUAUCAAGAUCAAUCACUGCUAGUUUGGCUUCAGUCGUUCUUAUCUGAGGCAAUUCUGUCAAAAGUUGUUGGAAAAGAUACAUAAUCAUUUUUAUGCUAAAACAAAAGCAAAAUUCAGAUAUCUUCGCACAGAACUUAGGAAUACCAGAAAAGGUGAACGCUCCAUAGUUGAAUUUCUCACUCGUAUAAAAACAAUUGUUGAUUCUUUACUAGCCAUUGGACAAACUGUUUCUGUUCAGGAACAGAUAGAUGUUAUUCUUGAAGGUUUGCCAAGUGAAUAUGAGUCACUGGUUACUACAAUCAGCAGUAAGAUUGAUCAGUUCAAAUUUGAGGAGAUCUAAUCUCUUCUUUUGGCUCAAGAACAAAGGCUUGAAAAGUUAAGAGAAAGUGUUGUUGCUCCUGCACUGAAUUUGACUCGAGCUCAAACAGCAAAGGCAGAGGAUACUGACUCGGAUUCAACACCUCAAGUGCAGUUUACUCAACACAAUGAUAGGGGCAGAUCUUCUAAUUCCAGAGGUAGAGGUGGCAGAUCUAGUUAUGUAUAUAGAGGAGGCAGAAAUUAUGGUAACAUUGAUAACAGAAACUAUGGAAAUAAUUAUAACAGGAAUUUUGGAAAUGGUGAUCACUGAAAUUAUGGAAAUACUGAUAGGUAUAAAAUACAGUGUCAAGUCUGCUACAAGUUUGGCCACAGUGCAGCUUAUUGCUAUCACAGGUUUAAUCCAAAUUAUGUAGCUCAACAGUAUAAUCAGAAUCAUUCUGGGAAUCAGAACAGAAACUACUCCUAUCAUAGGCCUAAUUCUCAACCUCAGAACAAUAACUCUCAGUCACAGCACAAUGCACAAGCUCCUCAAGCCUACUUAGCCAAUGCUAAUCCUACUCAGCAGUCACAGAAUUGGUACAUUGAUUCUGGUGCAACUCAUCACGUCACUGCAUCUCCUCAGAACUUGAUGAAUGAAGUUCCAACCUCGGCCAAUGAGCAUGUUUUCCUUAGCAGCGGUCAAGGUUGAUGGUUUCAUACUCCUUAGAGGUGCUCUUAGCUAAGAUGACCUCUAUGUCUUCUCAAAUCUUUUGAAUUCUUCUGUCAAGUCUACUGUUGGAAGGGCUGCUGCCUCUGUUCAUAUGUCUUCACUUUCAGCUUUGUCUUCUCAUUGUAAUAAUGUCAAUUCUAGUAACUCUAGUUUACUUUCUCUUUAGCUUAAUAGGCUAGGUCAUCCUAGUUCUGCUGUUGUAACUCAUGUUCUUAGGACUUGUAAUAUACCUUUUUUCAAUAAAAUGACAGAAGAAUUGUGUAC